UACGUAGGGGGCGAGCGUUUGUCCGGAAUUAUUGGGCGUAAAGAGCGUGUAGGCGGUUCGGUAAGUCUGCCGUGAAAACCUGGGGCUCAACCCUGGGCGUGCGGUGGAUACUGCCGGGCUAGAGGGUGGUAGAGGCGAGUGGAAUUCCCGGUGUAGCGGUGAAAUGCGCAGAUAUCAGGAGGAACACCGGUGGCGAAGGCGGGUCUCUGGGCCGUAACUGACGCUGAGGAGCGAAAAGCAUGGGGGGAGCGAACAGG
rnacentral:rRNA from 1 species